ensembl:snRNA U6 U6 spliceosomal RNA
GUGCUCGCUUCAGCAACACAUAUACUAAAAUUGGAGGGAUGCUAAGAAGAUUAGCAUGGCCCCUGAGCAAGGAUAAAAUUCAAAUUUGUGAUGCAGUCCAUAUUUUU